rnacentral:rRNA from 1 species
UGCCUCAUACACAUGGAUAACAUACCGAAAGGUAUGCUAAUACAAGAUGAUAUAAGAGAUUCACAUGGAUUCUUAUCAAAGCUCCGGCGGUAUGAGAUGGACCCGCGUCUGAUUAGCUAGUUGGUAAGGUAAUGGCUUACCAAGGCGACGAUCAGUAGCCGACCUGAGAGGGUGAUCGGCCACAUUGGAACUGAGACACGGUCCAAACUCCUACGGGAGGCAGCAGUGGGGAAUAUUGCACAAUGGGCGAAAGCCUGAUGCAGCAACGCCGCGUGAGCGAUGAAGGCCUUCGGGUCGUAAAGCUCUGUCCUCAAGGAAGAUAAUGACGGUACUUGAGGAGGAAGCCCCGGCUAACUACGUG